GAUGAACGCUGGCGGCGUGCCUAACACAUGCAAGUCGAGCGAGAAAUUCAGGAGUGAAGCUUCGGUUGAGCGAAUGAAUGGAAAGCGGCGGACGGGUGAGUAACGCGUAGGCAACCUGACCCUUAAAGAGGGAUAGCCUCGGGAAACUGGGAUUAAAACCUCAUAAAGCGAGAGAGCCACAUGGUUCUUUGGCCAAAGAUUUAUCGGUAAGGGAUGGGCCUGCGUCUGAUUAGCUAGUUGGUGGGGUAACGGCUCACCAAGGCGACGAUCAGUAGCCGACCUGAGAGGGUAAUCGGCCACAUUGGAACUGAGACACGGUCCAAACUCCUACGGGAGGCAGCAGUGGGGAAUAUAGCACAAUGGGGGAAACCCUGAUGCAGCGACGCCGCGUGAAGGAAGAAGUAUUUCGGUAUGUAAACUUCUAUCAGCAGGGAAGAAAAUGACGGUACCUGACUAAGAAGCCCCGGCUAAUUACGUGCCAGCCGCCGAGUAAGC
rnacentral:rRNA from 1 species